UCCAUUGUGGUGUAAUGGCAACACAACAGACUACGAAAGCCGGUUGUGGAAGCUGGCAAAGAGGAGAAAUGGCGCUUGUCGCCUAUCUGGCUGGCCGCCGAAGCGGUAGGCGGUAAAUGUCUGGAAACCUGAGUUCGAUCCUCGGCAAUGGAG